rnacentral:rRNA from 1 species
CUUUCGGGUCUAGGUGGGCGAAGUGGCCGAAACCGGGUGAAGUAAAUGUAUCCGGAAACGUGGCCCAGUAGCGGGGGAUAACUACGCGAAAAGCGUGGCUAAUAACCGCAUACGCCCUAUCGGGGGAAUAGCAGGGGAUCGCAAGACCUUGCAUCUAUUGGAGCGGCCGAUAUCGGAUUAGCUAGUUGGUGGGGUAAUCGGCUCACCAAGGCGACGAUCCGUAGCUGGUUUGAGAUGGACGACCAGCCACAUCUGGGACUGAGACACGGCCCAGACUCCUACGGGAGGCAGCAGUGGGGAAUUUUGGACAAUGGGGGAAACCCUGAUCCAGCCAUCCCGCGUGUGCGAUGAAGGCCUUCGGGUUGUAAAGCACUUUUGGCAGGAAAGAAACGUCGCGGGUUAAUA